rnacentral:rRNA from 1 species
AAAGCUCUGUUGUGAGGGACGAAGGGGCGCCGUUCGAAGAGGGCGGCGCGGUGACGGUACCUCACGAGAAAGCCCCGGCUAACUACGUGCCAGCAGCCGCGGUAAUACGUAGGGGGCGAGCGUUGUCCGGAAUUAUUGGGCGUAAAGCGCGCGCAGGCGGUCCCUUAAGUCUGAUGUGAAAGCCCACGGCUCAACCGUGGAGGGUCAUUGGAAACUGGGGGACUUGAGGGCAGGAGAGGAGAGCGGAAUUCCACGUGUAGCGGUGAAAUGCGUAGAGAUGUGGAGGAACACCAGUGGCGAAGGCGGCUCUCUGGCCUGCACCUGACGCUGAGGCGCGAAAGCGUGGGGAGCAAACAGGAUUAGAUACCCUGGUAGUCCACGCCGUAAACGAUGAGUGCUAAGUGUUAGAGGGGUCACA